GGUUGGGCAUUCCGGCUCUUUUCAGUGAGCCGGCUCGUUCGGCUUUUCUCUCUCUUCUUUAUUGCCAUGUUAUAACCAGCAGCACACAGCAAUGCUGACCAUAUUUUCCUUUUAUGAGAGAUUUGCAUUCAGAAAUGAAAGCUGCCUCACUUUCGAGGGGCUGAUGCGGUUUCUUCUCUCAGUAAAUAUUUGUCCCAUUUUCGAGAAGACCCUCUCAGAGGGAACGGAUGUGGACAUUAUGCAGAGUCUCCCUGUCAUGACUUUAGUAAGUCUUGGGUAUCUUCAAAUCUUCAAUGAAGUGACAUGUAACCGACAUGUAAGAAGUGGUUACCCUUGAUGUCUAGCAGUCAGUGGUAAGGCAAACUGCAGUAGCUUUUUGGACUCUUUCCCAUACUGAAUCCUGUGUGCUCUCGUACAGUUGUGGAAUAAGUGAUUUUGAAAGGGUUUUCCUGCUUGGAAUUGUGUACAUUGGAUUUAGACUAUUGCAAUAAUGUAUAAAACCUCUGUCCUCCACGAUCGAAAAUGGCUGGAAAUCGGUGGCAAUCAUUUUAGCCAAUGCAAUAUCAAUUUGGCCUUGUUUUGCUACAGACAGACUUUGGCAUAAACUGGUCCAUAGAAGACUGCGUUGCUGUGGGUCGCGGAGUAGGCCUACUUGACUGAGUGGAUACGUCUCCACGUGUGGAGGUGCAGGCUCCACCACUAUCACUAGCAGGCCCGCUAGUUUCUCGAAGCUCUGCUACAGCUAGCUUCACAGUUGGGUGCACAGUUCGCAUAUGCCGGUGUAGGUUGUGCGUAGAAACGGCUUUAUAUGCGAUUUUGAUGUUACACAAAAAUUCAAAAGGCAGCUUGAAAACUUGAUUGCUGACUAGCAAAACAUGUUGGGUCUAUGUCAACAAUGGACAAAUGAAACAAAUACCAAAACAUCGGUUUUGGGUGGAAUUGUCCUUUAAGGAUGCUUUCGUGAAAAAGUGUUUGAUCACAUCCAACUACGUUGAUCAUUUUAAUUGGCUGAUAUGGAAUUUGUUACCGGAUAUAAUCAAGGUGCUCAGCUGGUCGUACUUAGCAUAGGGCCUAUUUGGUCAGGUUUGCCUAUGCGAAAAGCUAGCCAUUUAAUACCAAAGGUCUGAACCUCGGGUCUAAGCAAAAGUUUGCGAGUAUUACUCUCUUCUCUAAUACGUUGACAGAGAUGAACUACUUGAUGACCCAAAUGAGAAAAACAGCCCAUGAUCUGAGGACUGUUCUGACCACACCCGGGGGCAGCAGGGAAACAAUGUGAACAAAGUUGUCAUCCCACAGAGCUGUGAGGGACAGAGCAUCUCUUAUGCCAACUUGCCAGUUCAUGUGUCACAGAUGGUGUCACAGGAGGUAGAGGUGAGGUCACAACAUCAGGCCAUUACACAUUGUAGUUGCUGCUACAGGCACAUUAAACGUAUCCUUUCAGGCAAAGUAUGUAUAUAGCCUGGGUUCGGACAGACAACCUGAAAUUUGGCCUAAGGGUUACUUUAGCCUGGUUAAACCAAACCGAAUGCUGCACCCACAGCUAAAACAAUGGUAAGCGCAGUCUGGUAUAACCAGGAUAGGGGUACUUAUGAUGAAAGGAGAUACACAAUAUCCAAUCGUUGCCGGUCAAAAAAAUACAGCAAUGCAAAUAAAGUCUCUCUAAAAUGAAACAAGGUCUGUCUCUGUCACAACAACUUUGCAAUGUACUCUGAGAAUGGACACUUUGUUUUGUCUUGAACUUUAUCAGGAUGCUAACUGCACCUUCCUCCUGGGGUCUUAGAGUGCAGAGGGACCUGUACAAGGGGAUCUCAGAGAUCAUGGACUUCAAAAAUUACAUCUCAGCCAUGCUAAGUGUGCUGUUUGAUAGGGAGACUCUGGGCACACACAGUCUGUAGGGCAGGAGGUGUAGCAUUGCUAAAGUGUAGACCCAGAAAUCUCAACUCACCCCUGACAUCAUGAGAGCCCUUCUAAGUACUGUACCUUGUAUCUUUCAUAUUGCUGUCUAUGUUAUUCAACGAUUAUUUAAUCAGGUUGUCUCAUUGAGGUCGGAGUCAUAGCUCUAUGGGGAGUUCAUAAAGUUCUGGAUGUAGAAAACCCUUACAUUCCCUAUCUUGAACACUAACUCCCAGCCCUCUCUAACUCUUGAAACAAGUAGCCCCAACUCCAUUGUUGACAGGCUACUCUGUUUGCACCUCUGGAGCUCUCCAGUUACAUGCCACACCUAGUGACCUCUGAUUCGGACAUUUGACCCCCCCAUCACUACCUCUGACCCUGCCCACCUGCAACAGGCCGUCCAACAGGCAGGUAGGACCGGGAUAAGUAUAAGAGCACGGUCCAGCCCAGUCUGGCCUUAGUCUUCAGCAAGUAGUGGCGGAAUGAGGAGCUCUCUCAUAAACCUCUGCUAUGCACACCAACAGCUGGGCCACAGCCCAGGUACCUUUGCCCCUGCACCCCUGGACUCUCCCAACACACACUAGGGUUAGUGCGCCACUGACCUAUGUAAGUGAAAUCUACUGGGACAAGGCACAGUCAUUUAUAUAUGUUGUACAUGUAUAGUUUGACUGUUAGUUAUUAAUAUGUAACAACCUGUCUAUGGUCCAUUGUUGCAUAACCUAAGAUGACUGCCACCAUGGUCAUAUCCUAAAGGCCUAUUGUUUACAUAUUAGAAUAAUGACCUAGCAUACUAGCAUUUUGCUAGCCGCUAAUUGUAUACUGCCUAUAUCACUGUGCUAUGCCUCACUGUGUAGCCUAGCGUGCUAGCUGCUGUUGUAUAUAUUACUGUGUGCUAUGUUAGCCAUACUAGCCAACAUUGCUAGCGUUGCUGAUGCUAGUUGCUUUGUAUAUACCGUGCACUGUAUUUAGCCUACUAACUCAUUGCCUAGCCCAGUGCGCUAGGCAAUUUCCAAUGCAUAGCUACUGCCUUAGCUAUUGUAUAUAUUGUCUCCACUGUUUGCUAUGUUUAGCUUGUUGGCAUGUUAAUGCCGCCCUUUAGCAAUGUAGCUAUGUAUGUAAGCCAUUGUUUUAUAAUACUUUUUAAUAUUUGUAGCUACUUUUUAAGUAAAUACCUGCAGUCAACUUGUGCAAUACGUUAGAAAAUAAAGAACAUUGCGUUCUUCAUUUCACCUGUCACAUUAUUAUGUAGCUUACAAUAGUACAGUCACGUCACAUGGUGUUUGUUUACAAUUACACAACGAUGAGAGACCGGAGCCUUGUGAGUCACUCACUGUAGAGCAGCAUGCGCCAGGUGAUCUAAUUACAGUACGGAAUUCACAACUAAAUGUUUGCCAGCUAGAUAUCUUAUAAGAUAACUGUCUAAAAUCUACUAAAUGCUUUGCAGUUGUCCAUUUGAUUUGCUAAUUUUGUAGCUAGUUAGCUUUCUGGCUAAGUGUUAAGCUUCUUCCAAAAUCAAGCAUUCGCUUGGUAACAGCAGAGAAUUCCCUCCUGUUUCAAGAGCCUUGUUGGCUAAUAUUUGUUUUGUGUGUGCAGCAAACUGUUAGUAGCAGUUUUGAGUUACUUGUAUACUUUUAUAGUUUAGGUCAGAAACUGUACAAAAUGUUUGAAAUGCACUCGUUAGCAUUUAGUUAGCAUUCUCUAUGAGGUUUCCGUAGUACUUGUUACCAUUUUGUUAGCGUUCUAGUAAGUGACGUUUUUUUGGGCUUAGAAUAUUAAUACUUUUUAAAUAAAUACCUGCAGUCAACUUGUGCACUAGGUAAUAGAUAAAGCAGAUCGCGUUCAUCAUUUCACCCGUUUUUUCAUUAAAGCUUACCGGUACUAGUUUCCCAAAACAAUGGUUUGUGUCACGCCUGCUCCCGCUGCACUUCAUUACGCACACCUGUCACCAUCAUUACUCGCAGCUGCGCAAUAUUGAACUCACCUGGACUCCAAUACUUUGUUGAUUACCCCCUCUUUAUCGGUCUGCUCCUCACAUUAUUCCCUGUGUCAGAAUUUAUGUCGUUAUUUUUCCCCUGUCGAGACACUGUUUCUGUCCUUUUUCAUGUCCGUUGUUCAUUAAAUGUUCUCCCUGUACCUGCUUCUCAUCUCCAGUGUCUAUCCUCACGUAAUGCUGACACCAAAAUUGGAAGCAUCUGGGAGGCCUUAUUUUUUGUUGGUGAUGUCGGGUCCGGGUGCCGUCGUCGAUGGAACCGGGGGUGCCUCAGCUAGCUCGUCGUGCUUCCACACCCUAGCUGGCUCGAGAGAUUUUUCUUGCCCCGGUGGGCUUGGCAGGUACCCAUUCUACGUCAUUCUUCAGCCGGCCAUUAGGCUCCCACACCUCAGCUGGUUCAUCAGGCUCCCACGUCUCCGCGGGAUCGUCAGGCUCCCACGCCUCAGCCGGUUCGCCAGGCUCCCACGUCUCUGCUGGUUCGUCAGACUUCUAUGCCCCCCGUCAGGCUCGCCCAGGUGGGAUGCCGGGUGGUGCCCCUAGAGGGGGGAUGCUGUCACGCCUGCCCCCGCGCCCCCUCUCUGGCGCUCGAGGGAGCCAGGCUGCCCUUCAUUACACUCAUCUGUCACCAUCAUUACGCACCGCUGCGCAAUAUUGGACUCACCUGGACUCCAUUACUUUGUUGAUUUCCCCCUCUUUAUCUGUCUGCUCCUCACGUUAUUCCCUGUGUGAGCAUUGAUGUUGUUUUUUUGCCCCUGUCCAGAUGCUGUUCCUGUCCUGUUUCAUGUCCGUUGUUCAUUAAAUACUCUCCCUGUACCUGCUUCUCGUCUCCAACUUCGAUCCUCACAGGUUUGAGCCAGUCACGUGUGUUUGUUUACUAAGAGGCACAAGGAGCAAAAUGGUAGCUUCGUGAGCAAGUGAGGAUAACAUUUGGUGAGGAUUACAGUGUGAUCUGAGCUGCCGUCAGAACAAAGUUGAAUAAUGAAGACAAACGGUUGACUUGGGAUACGUUAAAACAUAACUAUAUACCAGGUUAGAAUCACACAAUUGUUGACAUUGCAAGUACUGUAAAUGCAGUGUUUUGUUCCUCCAACAGAUGUCAGUAUGUAGCAGUUUAGGAAGUCACUUUUGAUCAGAAGGAUUUUGACUAUCAAAUCAAAUCACAUUUUAUUUGAAACAUGCACCGAAUACAACAGGUGUAUGCCACACUCUGAUCUGUUUCACCUGUCUUUGUGCUUGUCUCCACCCCCCUCCGGGUGUCGCCCAUCUUCCCAAUUAUCUCCAGUGUAUAUAUACCUGUGUUCUCUGUUUGUCUGUUGCCAAUUCAUUUAGUUUGUCAAGCCUACCAGCGGUUUUCCCCUUGCACCUGUCUGUUUCAAGUUCUUGUUUUCCUGGUUUUGACCAUUUCUGCCUGCCCUGACCCUGAGCCUGCCUGUCGUUCUGUACCAUGUCAUAUCACACUGGACUAUUGACCUCUGCCUGCCCUGACUCUGGGACUGCCUGCCGUUCUGUACCUUUUGGACUCUGAUCUGGAUUACCGACCUCUGCCUGCCCUUGAACUGUCAUUUUGCCUGCCCCCUGUUCUUGUAAUAAACUUGUGUUACUUCGACACUGUCUGCAUCUGGGACAUCUCCUGAGCCUUGACAGUACGAACUGGCCAUGACUGACCCAGCAGACUUGGAUCAGCUCCACAAUGCCAUCUCCUCCCAAGGAGCCACCAUUGGAGAGCACGAGGAGAUGCAUCGUGGUCUGAUGGAAGGGUUCCAGACCUUAGCAGAACGCCAUGACCGAGCAUUGAACACAUUGCUGGAGCAGAGCAAUUCCGCUGGUUGUCUGUUAGGCAGCCUACCACGACGGUAACCUCCCAGCCCCUCAGUAACCUGGCUGUUAGCAGCGCCGUCUCCCCGCCUCCCCGGCCACCCGCUUACCUCCCCCAGAACGAUUCGAUGGAGAGUCGGGCACCUGGUGGAGAUUAUAACAGAACAUGGCCAAUAUGUUCAAAUGUUCAUAGAUGACCUGCAGGGUCAAAUAAUAAUAAUCACAGUGGUUGUCGAGGGUGCAACAGGUCAGCACCUCAGGAGUAAAUGUCAUUUGGCUUUUCAUAGCCGAUCAUUCAGAGUAUCUCUACCGCUCCUGCUGUCUCUAGAGAGUUGAAAACAGCAGGUCUGGAACAGGUAGCACAUCCAGUGAACAGGUCAGGGUUCCAUAGCCGCAGGCAGAACAGUUGAAACUGAGCAGCAACACGGCCAGGUGGACUGGGGACAGCAAGGAGCCGUCAGGCCAGGUAGUCCUGAGGCAUGGUCCUAGGAAUGAUUUAAGAGUACUGUAGAUUAUAUAUAUUAUAGAUUUUAUUUGUGAUAUAUUCACUCACAUAGUAGCCUUAAAAACACAUUGUACUAUAAGGAUUGUGCCUGUUAAAUAAAUGUCUUUCCAAUUCCCACUCAUCUCACAAUUUUCAGUUUGGUUUUCACUGAUGCUAUUAAAUGACUUCUUGCAACUGUUUAUCCAAAUAAAAUAAAGCAUGUUGAACCCUUAA